UACGAAGGGGGCUAGCGUUGCUCGGAAUUACUGGGCGUAAAGGGAGCGUAGGCGGAUAGUUUAGUCAGAGGUGAAAGCCCAGGGCUCAACCUUGGAAUUGCUUUUGAUACUGGCUAUCUUGAGUACGGAAGAGGUAUGGUGGAACUCCGAGUGUAGAGGUGAAAAUUCGUAGAUAUUCGGAAGAACACCAGUGGCGAAGGCGACAUACUGGUCCGUUACUGACGCUGAGGCUCGAAAGCGUGGGGAGCAACAGGG
rnacentral:rRNA from 1 species